rnacentral:rRNA from 1 species
UACGGAGGGGGCUAGCGUUGUUCGGAAUCAUUGGGCGUAAAGGGCGCGUAGGCGGCCGAUCAAGUCGGAGGUGAAAUCCCUCGGCUCAACUGAGGAACUGCCUUCGAUACUGUUCGGCUUGAGUCCUGGAGAGGGUAGCGGAAUUCCCGGUGUAGCGGUGAAAUGCGUAGAGACCGGGAAGAACACCAGUGGCGAAGGCGGCUCACUGGCCCGGUACUGACGCUGAGGUGCGAAAGCGUGGGGAGCAAACAGG